rnacentral:rRNA from 1 species
UUUAUGGAGAGUUUGAUCCUGGCUCAGGAUGAACGCUGGCGGCGUGCCUAAUACAUGCAAGUCGAGCGAACGGACGAGAAGCUUGCUUCUCUGAUGUUAGCGGCGGACGGGUGAGUAACACGUGGAUAACCUACCUAUAAGACUGGGAUAACUUCGGGAAACCGGAGCUAAUACCGGAUAAUAUUUUGAACCGCAUGGUUCAAAAGUGAAAGACGGUCUUGCUGUCACUUAUAGAUGGAUCCGCGCUGCAUUAGCUAGUUGGUAAGGUAACGGCUUACCAAGGCAACGAUGCAUAGCCGACCUGAGAGGGUGAUCGGCCACACUGGAACUGAGACACGGUCCAGACUCCUACGGGAGGCAGCAGUAGGGAAUCUUCCGCAAUGGGCGAAAGCCUGACGGAGCAACGCCGCGUGAGUGAUGAAGGUCUUCGGAUCGUAAAACUCUGUUAUUAGGGAAGAACAUAUGUGUAAGUAACUGUGCACAUCUUGACGGUACCUAAUCAGAAAGCCACGGCUAACUACGUGCCAGCAGCCGCGGUAAUACGUAGGUGGCAAGCGUUAUCCGGAAUUAUUGGGCGUAAAGCGCGCGUAGGCGGUUUUUUAAGUCUGAUGUGAAAGCCCACGGCUCAACCGUGGAGGGUCAUUGGAAACUGGAAAACUUGAGUGCAGAAGAGGAAAGUGGAAUUCCAUGUGUAGCGGUGAAAUGCGCAGAGAUAUGGAGGAACACCAGUGGCGAAGGCGACUUUCUGGUCUGUAACUGACGCUGAUGUGCGAAAGCGUGGGGAUCAAACAGGAUUAGAUACCCUGGUAGUCCACGCCGUAAACGAUGAGUGCUAAGUGUUA